AUAAGCAUUGAGGAAGAAAUAAAAGUGAAACAAACAUGAACAUCUCUAGCUCAGGACGUACAUGCUCAGUCACUCAACCUGGUGACCUGGUGUCGGGGAGGGGGAAGUAUCAAUGAGUUAUAAUUAUAAAUUAUAGUGAGAUAAAUUAUAGAGUGAUUACUCUCUUGUAGACGAGUACAAUUUAUUUAAGCGUUCAGCUGAUGAACAAUAAAGAAACAAGGAUCAAAACAUUCAGUUAUUAUGUCAACAUAAGCCUUUCUAUUACGAAUACUAUUCUUAAAAUCUUAAUAAAUUAAUAAUUAGUAAUUUUUAAAACAGGAGUUUGGUAUUAGAUUUCCUAAAAAUCCAGCGCUUCUAAAGCAAUGGAUAGUUAUUGAUCAUGCAUAUGGUCUACCUAGUACUAUGUAAUCCUUGGAGAGGUGACAAAAAGAGACAUUAUGAUUCUUUCCGAGAAAAAAUGAACUUCUUUCAACAGAUUAAAAGGCUUUUAAAAUUAAAUUAUUUGUCAAAGCGAACGAAGGUUUCAGAAGCAGAUAACCAAUGCUAAAGAUUUAUGUCACCAUGUAACAAAAUAAAUAAAUAAAUAUGGUUUCUGGAUUAAGGGAAGAUGGUUCUCCUGGCUUUACUCUAGAAUCAUUUGAAGCAUUAAGAAUACAAGCUCAGCAACAAGAAAGCCCCAACGGCAAAAAAAUCUAUUGCAACCUCACUCUAGAUGAAAUUAGUAUAAACAAAACGAUUGAGUUUGAUGGCAGUAAGUACCAUGGGUACUUGGAUAUUGGCACGGGAGUGUCCGACGAUGUAAUGCCUCCUGCCACAGAGGUUCCUGUACUGAUGGUGGUUGCCAUCAAUGGGAGUUGGAAAAUACCUAUUGGAAACUUUAUCUUUCAUGGAUUAUCUGAAAGAGAAAAGGAAAUCUAUUUCGUACGGCUUUGAGUAAAUCGUAUGAUACGGGUAUAAUCAUUCCUAUUAUUACAUGUGAUGGACCCUCUUACAACUUUGCUAUGUUUAACGUCCUCGGGGCUUUUCUCUGUCAAAAUAAUAUGCAAACUACGUUUCAUCAUCCUUCCAGUCCUGAAAUCAGGAUAGCAGCUAUAUUUGAUAUUUGCCAUAUGAUGAAGCUCAUUUGCAUCCUUUGGUGUUAUAAAAAAUCAAAAAGGAGAGGAGAUUUGUUGGUGCUUUAUCAAUUAACUGUACUUAUUACAGAAACAUGAAGGUCUGAGAUCUGGAACGGUGUUGCGAAAAACUCACAUUGAAGGGAGAAGAAUGAAAAUGAAAGUAAAUUUGGCGUGCCAAACACUUUCGAGAAGUGUAGCAAAUGCUUUGGACAUGCUCUCAAAGGAUCUUCAACACAAAAACUUUUCGAACUAUAUGGCUAUAGUGGAGUUCAUUAGAAUAUUUGACGCCUUAUUUGAACUUUUUAAUUCUCGGAAUAUAUUAGGAAGCUCAACUAAAGAUCCAACUAUGAUUAUUGGCACCCUCUCUUGGAAUCAAGCCAUGACUAUGCCACAGCAUUAUAAACUUGCAGCGGUCAAAAAGUUGUUAAUACAAAGCAAAAAACAGGAUAUGUUAGAUUUUUGAUUGGAAUUCAAAGUUUUAUAGACUUAUAAAAUUCUUUUACAGAAACAAAUUAUCUAAAAUAUAUUCUAACAUACAAAUUUAGUCAAGACCACUUCGAACUUUUCUUCUAUACAAUUCACUCUGCCAACUGGCAUAAUAAUAAUCCCUCGGUCAGACAGUUUUCAUCCGCUCAUAAAAGAUUGAUCAUUCAACAUGAGAUUAAAGCAGGAACGAGAGGAAAUUGCUUUAGUCAAGAUAACACCACCCUUCUAUCUUCACAGGGAAACAAAGGAAGAUGCCAGAUAAAUAUGGAUAGCAACCAUAUGGAAUUUAUUUGUAAACAUGGCUUAAUUGAUGAAGGUCCCUUGCAGAUCGACCAUGACUAUAGCAAAGUGCCUAAUCCUAAUUAUUGCAUAGCAAUUUUGGACUAUAAAAGAGUGGCCAUCACUUACAUUGCCAGAUUUGUAGUGAAAAAAUUGGAAAAAAACAAUCUUGUGAAAAAUGCAUUGAAUCUUUGGGGUGUCUUGACAACGAAUUCAAGGUCGAUUAUACUCUGAUAAAAUAAAAAAAUUGGGGAGGAUAGUAUCAAACAGCAUCAAUCUAUCCUUCUAAGGAUGUAAUUGAAGUUUGUCUAGAAACUGAAAAGAUGUUUGAAAUACUUCUAAAUUCUACAAAACAGGCAUUGCCGAGAGAUUCUAGCCUGACUCUUAAAAUUAGCAUUGCAGUUCUGAAAAAUAUUGGCUUUCGUAAAAAUUAGGUCUUUCAAUGCCUUAGUGAUCAUAUAUUUGAUUCAUCUCCAGAAUGUAAUAAUGUAUUUUCCCUUAUAAAAACAAUUUAUCUAUGUUAUGCAUGUAUAAAACUGUAUCACUUGGGAAAGCUAGAAACUAAGACUAUAGAAGGAACCAAGAUUCGUAGUGUCCUCACGAAUCUUAUACCGUUUAAGAAUCAAUCUUUUGAAAAAUAUCAAUAAUAUGUUGAAAGACUUUUUUUUUAUUAGUAUAUAAUAUUUUUUUGAAUUAACUAAACUUUAUGUUUAUUUAUCUUAAAUAUUCUAAAACAUUUUUCAUUAAAAUUAUUAUGAACUAGAACAAACGAGAAUAUUAGGAAUUUAUAAGAAAAAAUAAAUUAUGAAAAUGU
rnacentral:lncRNA from 1 species